ACACAAUUCACGGGCACGCGUUUUACUACUAUUUUUUUGACAUGCCUUUUCACUUUCGACUUCCUAAUGAGCCGCCCAAUCAAUACAGCUUGGAAGCCCAGACGAGCGAGUGUGAGUUGGCCUUCUCCGCUUCCUCUCUUUAGCUGCCGCUUCUUCUUCCCCUCUCCUCCCCUCCGCUCUGCUUUCCCAGUCUCCCCGUCCGUCCAAGUCUCCAACGAUUUGUCCCGCACCAAGGAACUGCCUCCCGUGCCAAGAUUGGCCUUCUGAUUCUAGGCACAUCGGAGCUCUAGCUAUCCCUACGGGCGCUCACGUCGGAUCCGUUCAACCUUUCUGUGGAAGGAGUCAUCGAUGCGGCCAUCCCCGCUCAGCCGAAUCAGCCUGUACGCACACCUGCUCCUGGUCCUCCUCACACUGGCCACCUCGGACGCGCCGCUCUGCUUCGGGUUUCCUCGCGCUGGCGUCCUCAGAAGCACAAGAUGCGGCCAUCGCCGUCGCGGCCCCGAUACCAAUGGAACGCUCCGCUGCCUGCCUCCUCACGUUGGGGCCCUUGGUCGCGCCUGAUGCGGCCAUACUGAUCUUGGAUUUCUGGUGGUGCUUUGGAGGAUUAAUCUUCUGUCUUUUUUGUUUGAUUUCCAUGGUCUGCACAGCACUGAUCAAGAUCAGUAUCAAUGCUCCAAAGGUGCUUGCUAGGUUGAACUGGUCGAGGAUGGCAUCAACGCUUCUGCAGUUUAACUUCAUGUGUUCAUGUUCUUCUUCAGUUACUUUUUUCCUGUGCAGAUGAACAUGCUGGAACCUGUGCAACCCAAUUCUAUGUUGUUCUUCGGAUAAGUAAGGGUAUGAAAAGUGCUUCUUGAUGUGCAACCUAAUCCUAAUUAUGAAAUUCAUGUACAACCAUCUGACAGGUUUGGUACGUAAGAGCCCCACCUUUUACAAAA